CUGAAUCUUGUCGUAAAUGAAAAUACAAAAGGAUGGAAAAAGUCAUUUGUUUCCUGUAAAAAUCAAACGUACUGGCAUCAGAUAUUCAAUCACUGUCAGCCUGAAUCUUGCAAUGUCUCCAGUAUCGCAGAUAAAAUUAUUGAUAAGUCACAGAACGCGUACGGGAGGGAACAGUAUUGGAUCUAUGGAUAUGUACUGAGAUCACCUGUCAUCGUCAGUAAAGGAUGUUUCAGUUUAAAUGUUACCAAGAAGGAUAAAUUGCAUGGAGGAAAAUUUGAAUAUCUGAAAAAUUCAGCUUACGAAUGCUCUAGGUCUUGUGUGCAUGAAAAAGCAGAGUAUAUUUUUCUGAUGGGCAAGGUAUGUCUGUGUAUUUCUAAGGCAAAAUUCAUCAAUGAGCAGAGUAGUUAUACAGAGGAAAAUAUUGACGCUUGUACGAGAAAAUGUCAUGGAAACAGAAAAGAUAAAUGUGGUGGUGUUUUAGCUAUCGCCGAAAAAGAGUUAUACAGUGCCUAUGAAAUAAUAAACCAACAGAGUCCUCCUGGAAUGAAACUCGGGAAUACUUGUGCAGCAGUUUAUUGGGAUGAAACAAACGGAAAACAUCUAUUCAAUUACACAAGAUGCAGUUCUAGUUUGCCGUAUAUAUGUGAAGGAUAUAACAAGACAAGUAUCUUACAAACUAUAUUGUUUGAAUCUAUUUUGUCACUUUAAUUGAUAUUUUAACUUCAUGAAACAUUCGAUUGGGUAAUACCCGUGUAUAUACAUAUGCACUGUAUACCUGAGGUUAACAACAUGCAAAAGUAAUUCGUUUCAUUCUGAAUACUUUUUCAAUUAUAUUACAAUUACGGUUGCAUCAAUUUUGUAACCUGAUUAAUUACAAUAUAAUUAUAUUGUCAAUUUAAUUAAUUAUAUUUCUUUAUUACAAAAAGUCUAAAAUGAAUAAUCAAUAAUGCAAGGACUCGAUCAUACGUAUCAAUACUUCGUGUGUAUUUUUGUCUAGACGUAAUCUAAUUAACCAUCGAAAUGACCUCGGAAGACUGCCGACGAUCAUAUAACCCGAUAUCAACAUAAAUAAAAAUAUCAAUAGAAAGCGAUCACGUGCAAUUGGAUUUUUCUAGGUCUGUUUUAUUUCAUAUUGCAGGUUAAAACGUAUGUUUAUCAUCAUCUUUACCUGUAAAAGAAUUUUUUUUUUUGUGUUUCGAAUCAGUCAACCAAAUGGUUUAUCCUUGUUUCACUUUCAAUAUUGACAUUAUUUUCCUUUUAAUAGCAGAGUACAUGCGUAAUCAAUCUCAACCCAAAAGGUUAAAUUGAAGUUCACAUGAAUACGAAUUCAAUGAAGUCGAAUUAUUCACUUGCAAGUGAAUAAUUCAUUAUCGCUGUUUAUUUAGCUAAAUUUGACAAAAUUGAACCAAAUUGGCUGAUAAAAGCGAAUUAUUAUUCCACUAUUUCACUUUCAUUAAUGAUUGAACAAAACAAAUCAUGUUUAAAUUUGUUCAUAUCUCGUAGCAAAUGCCCCUUUGAAUAUCAAUAGAUAUCUGUAACAAGGGUAUCUGUUGUUUGUGCUUACUUCACUUCAUGCGUAUUGUAUUGCAUUUCUUUCUUGAAAUGGGGUUGAACUUUAGAAAUUAAAUUUAGAUGCGUGUACAUAUAAAUUAUAUACACAUAAGAAGAGAACAAAACAUCACCAGUAUUUAUAUAUAUCGUUCAUCAACAUUUUAAAAAAUCGGAGUAUUUUACAUUAGGAGGAUGACAUGUUCAGUAAUUUACGCAACAGUUACAUGAAUAGAAUUUAUAUUAAUAUUUACGUUGAUAAGUUGAUUGGUUUGCUAGGUAUAACUAUAUCUUGCCUUCUGCAUAAUAUUGAAGGGACAUAUUUGUAGUUUAGCGAGAUGCCGAUUUUAACAUUUGGUAACCCACAAUGUUUGGUAGUGUUUG